GUAGGGAAUCUUCCACAAUGGACGAAAGUCUGAUGGAGCAACGCCGCGUGAGUGAAGAAGGUCUUCGGAUCGUAAAACUCUGUUGUUAGAGAAGAACGUGCAUGAUAGUAACUGAUCAUGUAAUGACGGUAUCUAACCAGAAAGCCACGGCUAACUACGUGCCAGCAGCCGCGGUAAUACGUAGGUGGCAAGCGUUGUCCGGAUUUAUUGGGCGUAAAGGGAACGCAGGCGGUUUUUUAAGUCUGAUGUGAAAGCCUUCGGCUUAACCGAAGAAUAGCAUUGGAAACUGAAAGAAUUGAGUGCAGAAGAGGAGAGUGGAAUUCCAUGUGUAGCGGUGAAAUGCGUAGAUAUAUGGAGGAACACCAGUGGCGAAAGCGGCUCUCUGGUCUGUAACUGACGCUGAGGUUCGAAAGCGUGGGUAGCAAACAGGAUUAGAAACCCGGGUAGUCC
rnacentral:rRNA from 1 species